GUCAGCGGUCAUAGGGGAGGUGUUCACCCGUUCCCUUUCCGAACACGGAAGUUAAGACCUCCUACGAUGUGGCGAGUACUUUCCUAUUGGAUGGAAAAGCCCGUUGCUGCUGCCA
rnacentral:rRNA from 1 species